CAGUCGUACCGACGAGAAAUCAACCUUUCGAGUGCGAACUUGCGGGCGUGCGUGAGUCUUUAACGGGCCUCGCUGUUUGCAAUGUGUGUGCUUUUGGGGUGUACUUUUUCGUAUGGUAGGCCAACGUCAGUUUCGAUCACCAUAAAAUGAUUGGAGGAAUGUAGCUUUGGUCUCGUAUCGAAGUGUUAUAGACUCUGGUAGAUGUGACGAUUGGGGAUUGAGGAUUGGCAACGGAUACCCUUGGGGCUACUCGUCUGAUCUCUGAA
rnacentral:rRNA from 1 species